AUAAUUACAAAGAAGAGGAAGAGUAAUUAACUAUAUUAUAGUAGAGAGUCUAUGUUUGGUGAAAAUAGAUAUAAUCAGUUAGUGAAGGUAGCCUUGGAGUUGAUAGAUUGAAAUAGUAGUAAAUUUAUUCGUAGCGUCUGCGUUAAAGACAUUAAGUGCUAUAACAAUUGUUAUAGAACUAAGGUGGUACCGCGAUGAUUCGUCCUUAGA
rnacentral:ncRNA from 1 species